UUGCGUUAGCGAUAGUAAUGACAUCCUUUUUUUGCUGCCAUAUAUGGCAAAAAAAGAUAUAAUGGAUAGCGCGACCCUUG
rnacentral:sRNA from 12 species